CCUACGGGUGGCAGCAGUGGGGGAUAUUGGACAAUGGGGGGAACCCUGAUCCAGCGACGCCGCGUGAGUGAAGAAGUAUUUCGGUAUGUAAAGCUCUGUCAGCAGGGAAGAAAGAAAUGACGGUACCUGACCAAGAAGCCCCGGCUAACUACGUGCCAGCAGCCGCGGUAAUACGUAGGGGGCAAGCGUUAUCCGGAUUUACUGGGUGUAAAGGGAGCGUAGACGGCGAAGCAAGUCUGAAGUGAAAACCCAGGGCUCAACCCUGGGACUGCUUUGGAAACUGUUUUGCUAGAGUGUCGGAGAGGUAAGUGGAAUUCCUAGUGUAGCGGUGAAAUGCGUAGAUAUUAGGAGGAACACCAGUGGCGAAGGCGGCUUACUGGACGAUAACUGACGUUGAGGCUCGAAAGCGUGGGGAGCAAACAGGAUUAGAUACCCUAGUAGUC
rnacentral:rRNA from 1 species